rnacentral:rRNA from 1 species
CCCUUAGAUGUUCUGGGCUGCACGCGUGCUACACUGAUAUUGCCAAUAUGUCAUUCUUAUCCGAAAUGGAUUGGGUAAUCAAGUAAUGAAAUUUCAUGCUUGGAAUCGGUAAUUGCAAUUUUAUCGUGAACGAGGAAUUCCUAAUAAGCACUAGUCAUCAGCUAAUGUUGAUUAUGUCCCUGCCCUUUGUACACACCGCCCGUCGCUACUACUGAUUGGGUGUUCAAGUGAGAUGCUUAGACCCUUGUUGCAUGGUUCAUUAUUGUGCUCCGAAAGGAAAAAGUUUCAAGCUUGAGUGUCUAGAGGAAGUAAAAGUCGUAACA